rnacentral:rRNA from 1 species
UACAGAGGUCCCAAGCGUUUGUUCGGAUUCACUGGGCGUAAAGGGUGCGUAGGUGGCCGGUUAAGUCUGACGUGAAAUCUCCGAGCCUAACUCGGAAACUGCAUCGGAAACUAUCCGGCUCGAGGGUUGGAGGGGGGACUGGAAUACUUGGUGUAGCAGUGAAAUGCGUAGAUAUCAAGUGGAACACCAGUGGCGAAGGCGAGUCCCUGGACAACUCCUGACACUGAGGCACGAAAGCUAGGGGAGCAAACAGG